rnacentral:lncRNA from 1 species
AAUAAUAUCAACCUACAAAUUUAUGUCAAACAUCUGUGCUUGCUACUCACAAUAAUUUGUAUAUAUGCAUAUAAAUGCUUAUUUUAUAUUUGCAUAUUGUUUAUUUGCAUAUUCGGGGGGCAGAAUGCGAGAUGUUUGCACCGAUAAGUUUUCAUGUGCCUGGAGCUGUCUGAGAGGUUAGGUUGUUACUAGACGAUGGCUGGAUGUUGCUUAGACAGCAAAUGUCUGGUGGUCACAUAAAGCAGUCAGUGCAUAACUCCUGGAGAUUUGGGCAUGGAAUUGCCUUUCCAGGUAGCAACAUUUGCAAUACUUUGGGUUUCUGGUGCUGUCAACGUUCCCUUCUUAAUUUCUUACAUAAGCCUUCCUGGAUAUCUUCUUUCUAUCAAAGGUGUGACCAAGGGCAAAAGAGAGGAAGGAAGAGCCCGUUGUCACUCUCUGUCCUGCCAUCUGAGGAACAUUUUCAUGCAUAACCUCCGUGUUCAAGGGAUCUCACUUUACCCUGGUUGCUGGAGGAGCCUGAAAAAGUCAUUGGAGGACCUAUACAAUGAAAAAACAUAACAGCUCUUACUCCACUUUAAGAAAGGAAAGAUGCUUGUUAUACUGUCUGAAUGCUAAAAGCCUGAUCAAAUUCCUGGAAGACUAGCAAAUAUCUGUACCAUCCGGAAACCGUUGCUUCUUAAACAGUGCCAGCAUGCAGUGAGCAGCAACAUGUCAGAUGUCAGCAUCUUCCAGUGAUCUAACCAUUUGCAAGGGAUCUUACAGCUUCAUGAAAUCAAAGACACCAAAAACAAUCAAAAACCAGCCCAAAACAGUGACACAGCAGUGGGGCUGCAGAUAGGGAAAGCCAACAUCUGCCUUGUGCUGCUCUUUGGUAUGGUGUAAUGCCUCCACAUGAGGAGAUCCCUGAGCAGGUUCUCCCACUCUGCAGCAUGCAGGAAGCAUCCCAGAGCUCCCACUUUCUAUUCUGGCCCUGUUGCCUCCAAGGCUAGAAGCAAUGCCUUAGUUUAGGCAUAGGUUUUGGCCCACAGUUUUGGCCCACUGUUGCAGAUAUAAUCUUUUCAUCUCUCUGUGAUACACUGCCUUUUCAUUUUUUAGGAGAAAAGUUUCUCCAACACAAUAAAACAACCUCUGUAAAAUAGAUUUUCUUUCA